rnacentral:rRNA from 1 species
UGGGGAAUAUUGCACAAUGGAGGGAACUCUGAUGCAGCGACGCCGCGUGAGUGAUGAAGGAAUUCGUUUCGUAAAACUCUGUUCUAUGGGAAGAAAAGGACUGUACCAUAGGAGAAAGCUCCGGCUAAAUACGUGCCAGCAGCCGCGGUAAUACGUAUGGAGCGAGCGUUGUCCGGAAUUAUUGGGCGUAAAGGGUGCGCAGGCGGCUUUACAAGUUGGAUGUGAAAUAUUGUGGCUCAACCACAAACGUGCAUCCAAAACUGCAAAGCUUGAGUUCAGGAGAGGUAAGUGGAAUUCCUGGUGUAGCGGUGGAAUGCGUAGAUAUCAGGAGGAAUACCGGUGGCGAAGGCGACUUACUGGACUUAAACUGACGCUCAGGCCCGAAAGCGUGGGGAGCAAACAGG